CAGCAGCGUUCGAGUUGUUGCGAAUUGCAAUUGCAGAACGGAAUUCCAUUCCAGAACCAUCCUUCGCUCGCCCCCGCCGCCGCGCUGCCGCGGCCAUAUACGGCGAAAGCCCUAUUCGUGCCCGCGGCCGUGGAUAGAUAGGUCAGUGACGAUUGAGAAACCCGUAGUCGGAGCAGAGGAGGGGUAGAGGAUGGUGUUCGGUCAGGUGGUGAUCGGCCCGCCGGGCUCCGGCAAGACCACCUACUGCAACGGCAUGUCGCAGUUCCUCUCCCUCCUCGGCAGGAAAGUUGCGGUUGUCAAUUUGGACCCUGCAAAUGACGCAUUGCCAUAUGAGUGUGCCAUAAACAUCGAGGACCUCAUAAAACUCAGUGAUGUCAUGUCUGAGCAUUCGCUUGGCCCUAAUGGAGGGCUUGUGUAUUGCAUGGAUUACUUGGAGAAGAAUAUUGAUUGGCUUGAAGAAAAACUGAAGCCUUUUAUUGAAGAUCACUAUCUGUUAUUUGAUUUUCCUGGUCAAGUGGAAUUGUUCUUCCUUCACUCAAAUGCCAGAAGUGUUAUUAAUAAACUCAUCAAAAAGAUGGACUUGAGGCUUACUGCUGUUCACCUUAUUGAUGCCCAUUUAUGCUGUGAUCCUGGAAAGUAUGUCAGUGCUUUGCUUCUUUCACUAUCAACGAUGCUACACUUGGAAUUGCCACAUAUCAAUGUCUUGUCAAAGAUUGACCUCAUUGAGAACUAUGGAAAUUUAGCAUUCAACCUUGACUUCUACACUGAUGUCCAAGAUCUUUCUUAUUUGCAAUAUCAUCUUGAGCAGGAUCCCCGCUCAGCCAAGUACAGGAAACUGACUAAGGAGCUCUGUGAUGUGAUUGAUGAUUUUGGUUUAGUCAAUUUUUCAACUUUGGACAUCCAGGACAAGGAAAGUGUUGGCAAUCUUGUGAAGCUGAUUGACAAGAGCAACGGAUAUAUAUUUUCUUCUAUUGACAGUAGUGCUGUUGAGUUCAGCAAAAUUGCAGCGGCGCCUCUUGAUUGGGACUACUACAGAUAUCCUAUACUUGUUCUUUAAUAAUUUUUGCGAAGAAGUCUUUUGCCGCCUGUAAUUUUUAUGUUAUCUUCAAUGUCCCAGAUGCACACUAUCAAACCACUUGCAUUCACAGCAAGCAUGUGGUGAAUAGAUCGCAAGCCAAACCACGCGAAAUUGCAGCCAAGUAUGUUGUUUUAUCACCAGCUUACUAUUGCUAAGUCGAGUUGUGAAAUCUGGAGUAAUAUUUCUCUGUUACGUAUGUGGUAUGCCUUAGAAUAUAUGCUGUUGCACCAAUAUCUUGCAAAUUGUCUUUCUUUCCUUGACGUGUGGAUACAACAGCGGAAGUGCAGGAGAAGUACAUGAAAGAUGAUGAGUUUGCGCAACUGACAAGCAGGAUGCAAUGAGGCUGGCGGUGCCGUCCCGCACCCCCACUUUGGUAGCACUACGGGUGAACCACGACAGUGUGGCACGUUGAACUUCGGUUGCCAGAACGAUGUGAAACCUGUCUAAAUUCAUGUAGCUCAGUUGUAGGUGUUUACUGAAGCUGAUUGCUGUAGUUGCCUGAUCUUCUGGGAGUACCCUUUGGGCAGUAAAAAAAUGCACUUGUCACCGGUGACCAACCGGUCAUGUCCUGUUUUGUUUGUUCGCUUCAACCUAACUGUUCGACUGCUUGUUUGAACUGCUGCAGCUAUAAUCUUUAGAGACAAAACAUUGUA